rnacentral:misc_RNA from 1 species
GAUGAAGAACGCAGCGAAAUGCGAUAAGUAAUGUGAAUUGCAGAAUUCAGUGAAUCAUCGAAUCUUUGAACGCACAUUGCGCCCGCCAGUAUUCUGGCGGGCAUGCCUGUUCGAGCGUCAUUACAACCCUCAGGCCCCCGGGCCUGGCGUUGGGGAUCGGCGGAAGCCCCCUGCGGGCACAACGCCGUCCCCCAAAUACAGUGGCGGUCCCGCCGCAGCUUCCAUUGCGUAGUAGCUAACACCUCGCAACUGGAGAGCGGCGCGGCCACGCCGUAAAACACCCAACUUCUGAAUGUUGACCUCGAAUCAGGUAGGAAUACCCGCUGAACUUAAGCAUAUCAAUAAGUGGAGGA